rnacentral:rRNA from 1 species
GCGAGCGCUGGCGGCAGGCUUAACACCUGCAAGUCGCGCGGGCCCUUCGGGGUCGGCGGCGGACGGGUGAGUAACGCGUGGGAACGUGCCUUCUGGUCUGGAAUAACCCUGGGAAACUAGGGCUAAUACCGGAUACGCCCUCUUGGGGAAAGGUUUACUGCCGGAAGAUCGGCCCGCGUCUGAUUAGCUAGUUGGUGGGGUAACGGCCUACCAAGGCGACGAUCAGUAGCUGGUCUGAGAGGAUGAUCAGCCACACUGGGACUGAGACACGGCCCAGACUCCUACGGGAGGCAGCAGUGGGGAAUAUUGGACAAUGGGCGCAAGCCUGAUCCAGCCAUGCCGCGUGAGUGAUGAAGGCCUUAGGGUUGUAAAGCUCUUUUAUCCGGGACGAUAAUGACGGUACCGGAGGAAUAAGCCCCGGCUAACUUCGUG